rnacentral:rRNA from 1 species
UACGGAGGGUGCGAGCGUUGUCCGGAAUCAUUGGGCGUAAAGGGUGCGUAGGUGGUGCUGUAAGUCAGGUGUGAAAUCUCGGGGCUCAACCCCGAAACUGCACUUGAUACUGCAGUGCUCGAGGGCUGGAGAGGAGAUUGGAAUUCAUGGUGUAGCAGUGAAAUGCGUAGAUAUCAUGAGGAAGACCAGUGGCGAAGGCGGAUCUCUGGACAGUUCCUGACACUGAGGCACGAAGGCCAGGGGAGCAAACGGG